CGAACGCUUGCGGCGUGCCUAAGAAAUGCAAGUCGAACGGGGACUUCGGUCCUAGUGGCGAACGGUCGCGUAACACGUAAGCAACCUGCCCUGAAGUGGGGGACAACAUCCCGAAAGGGGUGCUAAUACCGCAUGUGGUCACGAGUCGGCAUCGACUUGUGUCUAAAGAUUUAUCGCUUCAGGAUGGGCUUGCGGCCUAUCAGGUAGUUGGUGGGGUAAUGGCCUACCAAGCCGACGACGGGUAGCUGGUCUGAGAGGACGAUCAGCCGGAUUGUGACUGAGAUACGGCCCAGACUCCUACGGGGGGCAGCAAUUAGGAAUCUUGCGCAAUGGGGGGAACCCUGACGCAGCGACGUCGCGUGAAGGAUGAAGGCCCUCGGGUCGUAAACUUCUUUUGAGUGGGAAGAAAUUUGACGGUACCACUCGAAUAAGCCCCGGCUAACUACGUGCCAGCAG
rnacentral:rRNA from 1 species